rnacentral:rRNA from 1 species
GACGAACGCUGGCGGCGUGCCUAAUACAUGCAAGUAGAACGCUGAAGGAGGAGCUUGCUUCUCUGGAUGAGUUGCGAACGGGUGAGUAACGCGUAGGUAACCUGCCUGGUAGCGGGGGAUAACUAUUGGAAACGAUAGCUAAUACCGCAUAAUAGUAGAUGUCGCAUGACAUUUGCUUAAAAGGUGCAAUUUCAUCACUACCAGAUGGACCUGCGUUGUAUUAGCUAGUUGGUGAGGUAACGGCUCACCAAGGCAACGAUACAUAGCCGACCUGAGAGGGCGAUCGGCCACACUGGGACUGAGACACGGCCCAGACUCCUACGGGAGGCAGCAGUAGGGAAACGUCGGCAAUGGACGGAAGUCUGACCGAGCAACGCCGCGUGAGGGAAGAAGGUUUUCGGAUCGUAAAGCUCUGUUGUAAGAGAAGAAAGAGUGUGAGAGUGGAAAGUUCACACUGUGACGGUAGCUUACCAGAAAGGGACGGCUAACUACGUG